AACAGGUGGAGCCUGCGGUUAAUCGGACUCAACGCCGGGAAACUCACCAGAUAAGACAGCUGAAUGAUAGUCGGGCUGAAGACUCUACUUGACUAGCUGAGAGGAGGUGCAUGGCCGUCGUCAGUCGUACUGUGAAGCAUCCUGUUAAGUCAGGCAACGAGCGAGACCCACGCCAACAGUUGCCAGCUCGUCCUCCGGGAUGGUGGGGACACUGUUGGGACCGCCUCUGCUAAAGAGGAGGAAGGAAUGGGCAACGGUAGGUCAGCAUGCCCCGAAUUAUCUGGGCUACACGCGGGCUACAAUGGGUGGGACAAUGGGUAUCGACACCGAAAGGUGAAGGCAAUCUCCUAAACCCAUCCGUAGUUCGGAUUGUGGGCUGCAACUCGCCCACAUGAAGCUGGAAUCUGUAGUAAUCGUGUCUCAAAAUGGCACGGUGAAUAUGUCCCUGCUCCUU
rnacentral:rRNA from 1 species